AGUGAACGCUGGCGGUAGGCCUAACACAUGCAAGUCGAACGGCAGCACAGGAGAGCUUGCUCUCUGGGUGGCGAGUGGCGGACGGGUGAGGAAUACAUCGGAAUCUACUUUUUCGUGGGGGAUAACGUAGGGAAACUUACGCUAAUACCGCAUACGACCUACGGGUGAAAGCAGGGGACCUUCGGGCCUUGCGCGAUUGAAUGAGCCGAUGUCGGAUUAGCUAGUUGGCGGGGUAAAGGCCCACCAAGGCGACGAUCCGUAGCUGGUCUGAGAGGAUGAUCAGCCACACUGGGACUGAGACACGGUCCAGACUCCUACGGGAGGCAGCAGUGGGGAAUAUUGGACAAUGGGCGCAAGCCUGAUCCAGCCAUACCGCGUGGGUGAAGAAGGCCUUCGGGUUGUAAAGCCCUUUUGUUGGGAAAGAAAAGCAGCCAGUUAAUACCUGGUUGUUCUGACGGUCCCCAAAGAAUAAGCACCGGCUAACUUCGUGCCAGCCGCCGCAGUAA
rnacentral:rRNA from 1 species